rnacentral:rRNA from 1 species
CACGUAGGGGGCAAGCGUUGUCCGGAUUUAUUGGGCGUAAAGAGCUCGUAGGCGGUUCGGUAAGUCGGGUGUGAAACCUCCAGGCUCAACCUGGAGACGCCACCCGAUACUGCUGUGACUAGAGUCCGGUAGGGGAGCGUGGGAAUUCCUGGUGUAGCGGUGAAAAUGCGCAGAUAUCAGGAGGAACACCAGCGGCGAAGGCGGCGCUCUGGGCCGGAACUGACGCUGAGGAGCGAAAGCGUGGGGAGCAAACAGG